rnacentral:rRNA from 1 species
UACAGAGGUCUCAAGCGUUGUUCGGAUUCAUUGGGCGUAAAGGGUGCGUAGGCGGCGCGGUAAGUCGGGUGUGAAAUCUCGGAGCUUAACUCCGAAACUGCAUUCGAUACUGCCGUGCUUGAGGACUGGAGAGGAGACUGGAAUUUACGGUGUAGCGGUGAAAUGCGUAGAUAUCGUAAGGAAGACCAGUGGCGAAGGCGGGUCUCUGGACAGUUACUGACACUGAGGCUCGAAG